rnacentral:rRNA from 1 species
GACGUAGGGCGUGAGCGUUGUCCGGAUUUAUUGGGCGUAAAGAGCUCGUAGGCGGCUUGUUGCGUCGACCGUGAAAACCCGUGGCUUAACUGCGGGCUUGCGGUCGAUACGGGCGGGCUGGAGUUCGGUAGGGGAGAAUGGAAUUCCCGGUGUAGCGGUGAAAUGCGCAGAUAUCGGGAGGAACACCGGGUGGCGAAGGCGGUU